UUCAAGGGUUUCAAAAAAAAUUUCGAUCCGCCUCUUGCUUUCCUGUUUCUUCUUCGUUCUUCCUCUCUCAGUCUCUAGCCUCUGAGCCUCUCACUCUCUCAGACUCUCUCCAGAUUUCACACGAAUCACGAUCUCAACCACUAUCACUCUCUCUCUCUCUCUCACCCGCUCUCUCUAAGUGACUCAGUCUCUCUCUCAAUCGCUCUCGCUCGCCUCUGCCUCUCUCGCUCUCUCUGUCUCUCGCUCAGCCACUAUCGCUCUCUCUUAGUCAUCAAAGGUCUCCCUCUCUAGAUUUUUGUUGGUUUGAGAAUUGAUUUGAAGGCAAAGUUUUUCCAGAUUGGCUUGCUGGCUGUGUUUAUUUCUGGGAU